UUUCCUUCUGGCUGCAAUGUCUUGAUUCUCUGGGUCUUUGUGGUUCUCCCUGCAUGGCCCUGCCGGGCUCUGGUGAGGGAAGAUAAGAGUGUGCUCCAAGGCUGGCGAGGCUGGGGUUUUCGUCUGCACCUGGUGAAAGGACUGGCUCCUACAUCACCAGCUUCCCUCUGAAUAUUUUCAGAAUUCUCCUGGGAACAGUGGUGGACAACAAAAGCCUUCUGAAAGAGGUCCUCUGGCACCCCUUAUGCCAUUCCCCUGGUGUUACCUUUUGUGAUUUUCAAAUGAAAGGGCAAAGAAGUGAGGAGUAGAUGAGCCGGGAACAAAACUGGCGCUGCCCGCAGACAGUCAUGCUUUCAUUUCAGGCUCCCCCUGCUCUCCCACCCCACAUGGCCACGUGGAAGCCGCACACUAUUAGUUCCACAUAAUUGGAAAGGGUGUCAGGAUCUCCCAGACAUUAACCAGAAACAUGCUGCUCAGUUGUCACCUCCAAUGUGACUAAUGCAGCCGUGUCUUAAUUAGUCACUGCUCACUGACUGCGAUGACAGCUCCCGAGCCUGUUCCAAGGCCCCAACCUGUGAUGGGGCACUGCAGAGCAGAUUAAAGGUGAGAGGCCGCUGGGAAGGAAGGACCAGGAGUUGCCAGUUUUUCAGGUCUCUUUCCCACUGAGCACUGUGAACCCAGGUGGCCUCUGCCAAACCCCUUUGUCAACAUUGUGACAGUAGAGUCAAUAGGGUCAUAACAUUGGGACACAUUUAUUGGAGGGAGAGAAGAAAUGUGACAGGGAAAUGGUCUAGAAGAUUCCUUCACAAGUCAGCUGUUAUGUCACGGGUCCCCAUGCAGCUCCCUGGGGAAGGGGCGAUGAGGGAUGAACCGUGCCACUCUGACUGGCCUACACCUAGCAAAUGCUGCUCAGGCCAGGGUGGCCCAUCUACUGGCUAAUGUAUGACCUGUGAUCUACAGUGGCUGUCUUAUAAUCUGUGCCAGUUCCAUUUCUCCUGCAGGGGCUUUGCACUCAGAAGCAAGGAGGAGGGAGGGGGCUGGGGGCGGGAAGUAAAAGGUGAGAGACUGCCCCCUCAGUGGAAGUGCCUAGGCCUCUACCCUGAGAGCAGUAGCCAUGUCUGGGUCCUCCUCCUCUCACUGCCCACCAGCCUGAGGGCUGGCCUGCUGUCUGGGCCCCAGGAAAAAUGAGAAUCACCCCACGGUGAAGCCGGGAGAAGCAGAGAGGGCUGGGAGCUGCCCCAGAGCCUGGCCCCUGCCAGCCUCACAGUGAGGCAGCCUCCAGGCACCACCUCCCUGCUCCUGGCAUCCCCUUCCCUCCUUCCUAAGCGCCCAGGGCCCAGUGUUCAUUCGGCCUCACAGGUGGAGCACCCAGGGCCCUUUAACUCUUCAGGCCCCUCAGAAAUGAGAUGAAGACAAAAUUUACUGGCUCCGAAAUAGAACGUUUCAAAAUUGCUUUUUCAAUGCUUUUUCAAUUGCUACAGAACAUACCACCAUAUCAGUUAGGCAGCCACCACUCUUGUGUCCUUAUCCUUAUAUACGAUUGUGUUCAACAUGGGACAUGAUAUACUGCAAUAGGUUCCACAAGCUGGGGGUGGGGUCUCCAAACGUGUGUGGAGCCUGCAGAGGAGAGAGUGAGACCUUGUCUCUGAAAAGAAAAG
rnacentral:lncRNA from 10 species